rnacentral:rRNA from 1 species
UACGUAGGGUGCGAGCGUUGUCCGGAAUUAUUGGGCGUAAAGGGCUCGUAGGCGGUUUGUCACGUCGGGAGUGAAAACUCAGGGCUUAACCCUGAGCCUGCUUCCGAUACGGGCAGACUAGAGGUAUGCAGGGGAGAAUGGAAUUCCUGGUGUAGCGGUGAAAUGCGCAGAUAUCAGGAGGAACACCGGUGGCGAAGGCGGUUCCCUGGGCAUUACCUGACGCUGAGGAGCGAAAGUGUGGGGAGCGAACAGG